UCCAUCGUGAGGUGGAAUCUGAAAGAAGCUGGCGGCAAACAUCUGGUCUGACGAACAGAAACUUCAUAUAAGGCAUAAAAACCGUGGGUAAGGUUGCUAUCCAAACCAAAGCCCUAUAGCUAUUCGGAACGGUUAAUGUAGAUGAAGCAGACAUAAGAUUGAAAGUUAAUACC
rfam:Bacteroides coprocola DSM 17136 Scfld_02_71 genomic scaffold, whole genome shotgun sequence.